GGGGAGGGAGGCAGGGGGAGAGGGCCUCCAGUGGGAAGGAGGUCGGAGACCUGAGACCCCGGUCUCCUCCAGAUCUUCGCGCCCACACCCAAACAAGAUACUGGAAAGAAAAGCCGGAAAACUGGUAUAAAAGUGUUUGACCCCUUUUCUCCUCCAUGUGAAAGGCAAAAUUCUCGCAACGACCUACCAGGCGCUACCCGACCUACCCUCCGCCCAUCCCUGUCUGGGCCUGCAGCCUGGAAACCUGCCUCCGGAGACAUCCCCAUGGGAGCCAGCCGUCAUGCACAGAAAUGUCGGUGAGACUACUGAAUGGUGACCGGCCAGGUGGAGGGAGAAGCCACUUGGGAGAACCAGGAUGCUCCAACCAUCAGCUAGGAUGGCGAUCUUAGGACACGUGAGGCCACGUUGGAUUCUCCAGCCCCACCCCAACACCCAACUAAUACCACACAGGGCAUCCACACUGAGCCCUGCCCAAAUCCUUUUUGUUCCUCCCAAAUUCUUCUUCUUAACGUUUAUUUAUUUUUGAGAGAGAGACAGAGCAUGAGUGGGUAAGGGGCAGAGAGAGGGAGACACAAAAUCGAAAGCAG